GUUAUAAACCCAAGUUUGCCCAAGGAUCAGAUAAAUCUUGCAGAAUGGGCAAUGAAAUGGCAACGCAAAAAGUUGCUGCACUCCAUCAUAGACCCACAUCUCAAAGACAAAUAUUGUCCCGAGUCUCUGAAAACAUUUGGAGAGAUAGCAGAAAAAUGCCUUGCUGAUGAAGGGAAGAUUCGUCCAACAAUGGGGGAAGUUCUAU
rnacentral:misc_RNA from 1 species